rnacentral:rRNA from 1 species
CAAUAGCGUAUAUUAAAGUUGUUGCAGUUAAAAAGCUCGUAGUUGGAUUUCUGAUCGAGACAUCAGGUCGGGUCCGAGAGGAUCAUGUACUUUGAUUUGUUUUGAUCAUCCUUGGGGAGAGCAUUUCUGGCAUUCAGUUGUCGGGAUUGGGAUCCUCAUCGUUUACUGUGAAAAAAUUAGAGUGUUCAAAGCAGGCCUCGGCCUCUGAAUACAUUAGCAUGGAAUAAUAAGAUAGGACUUUGGUGGUCUAUUUUGUUGGUUUGCACGCCAAAGUAAUGAUUAAUAGGGAUAGUUGGGGGUAUUCGUAUUCAAUUGUCAGAGGUGAAAUUCUUGGAUUUAUGGAAGACGAACUACUGCGAAAGCAUUUACCAAGGAUGUUUUCAUUAA